CCCAAGUCCAACCCUAGCAACCGUAGGGCUAUAUGGCACCCUGAGCAAUAGCGGAAGGUAAUUAGGGGACCUCUCCUCUAUAUAAGCCCUCCUUGACGGGGGCAUACCACCAGAACGAUUGAAGAAGCCAAGCCAGUAGGAUAGCACUCCCAGAUCUGGCCGGCCGCCGCCGCCUUCUUCCCCUAUUCGGGCAAGACGACGAUGAAGCUGUGUAACGGGUUUGAUUCCUAUCUCUCUCUCCUUCUCUCUCUCUCUCUCUCUUCGUGUCGAGUUCUUGCUGCGUCUGCUUGGCACUUUGCAGUGGUGGUCGACGGUGGGAUGGGACGGGGCGCUGGUGAUGGUGGUGGAGUGGCUGACAGAAGAGAGUGAGCACGCAGCAGCCAGACUGCAUCUAAAUACGGCGAUAAAGACGACGGAUGGAUGGAUGCCUAGACGCAGCUGCUUUUGCGUGCUCACUUCUCUUUCUGUCAGCUCUCUCUCUCCCCUCGGGACUUGUUCUGCUACAUCCAUCUCCCCCCCUUACCAUUACCAUCGCUGCGCACCACUGCGUCGUGCAGCAGUUCUCGCAUCGAUCGCCGUGGUGGCACUGUUGCCUGCCGGCCUGGUCGUGUCCCCACCUGAACCCUUAUCUUGCCUCCCGCUCGGAUUUCGAUGGCCUGAGCUUUGGAAGAAGGUACUCUUAAAUUUCAUGGCAGCCGCUGCGCGCAUGCACGCCAUGGACCCUCGCGCCGGAUAAACACUCUUUCUUUUCUCGGUGAGCUUCUCGUUGCCAUCUUUGUGCCUUCCGAUGAUGGAAUAUUAGCAGGGCCUUCAGCCUUGGGGGAAGAGGACGCGUGAUGUGAUUUGAUUAACACUGCUCUUUGCUCGCCUUCCUGGUGUGCUUAACUGAAAGCACUGUUUGACUAGUCCUUGAUACCCCCUUCUCCCUCCCUGCCCCUUCCUCUUCUCUCACUUAUCUACUCUCUCCUCCCCUUUCCCGUAGAGAUUUCACAGCAAAAAAUGAAUUUUUUUGUUCCCUUUGCUUUGCUCAUCUCAUGUGAUGCAGUGAAUGUUGCGAGGUAAGUGGGAAGCAGCCAUGGAAGUGGUGGUGAGAGGCAGAUCUGAUUGGUUGCAAGUGGAAAGGGGCCACCUACCGGCGGCGGCUUCCAGAUCUGGAAAUGUUUCUUCUCCGAAUAAAGCGCUUGUUUAACCGUACCAUUGACUGGGCAAUCAUCCUGGAGAUUUCACACUAGAUAUGCAACACCAAAAUUACAGACUUGCAUUUGUGGUUUCGGUGCUGCUAUAUCAUUCGUGAUCCAUUAGGUCUGCAUAUCCAUCUCUCUUUUACGCUGUAAGUGCAGAAAAACUGCAGUGGUCCUGCUAUAUAUAUGGAUGGUGCUUAUGAUUUAUGUUGUUUGUUCCCACUUUUUUUGUUAAUUUCUGGCUUUUGCAAAUUUUAUUGACAAUAUCUAGCUAGUGAUGUUUAUAAUGACAAUGUGUGGGCUCUAUCUGACAUUAUAUAAUCAAAACUAACCAGUGUUCUUGUGCAGUGCCCUCUUGCUAACCAAAGCAUAUACAAAAAUUUUAUCAGUAUUGAUUAUGAGUUAAAUGUUGACUAUAAUUGUUUAACGGAACAAAAAAUGCUUCCUUAGAGAAGGUGCUGGGUGCAUGUGUAUGCUACUGAAGGUGAUUGACCGCUCACAAAAUCUCAGUCUACCAAAAAGAUGUUUAAUCUGCACUGAAGUCCAGUUGCUGGAUCAUCGAGCUAACUCCAUUGUUGUUGGAAAACAAGAAGACAAAUUAGGAUACAAUCAUGCAUUCAAACAUCUGAAGGGACUUUCCAUCACCAGUGUUACAUGUUUCUGUCUAAAUACAACAUUCCAUUAAAUCUGCUCAAUAUGUUUAGGCCAAUUUUCAUAAAUAUUUGAACAUACAUAAGGAAAGUUAACUUCUCUAUAAUCUCAUAGUGCUACCAUUUUAGUACGUUUGUGUUUUUAACAAGUGGAUAAUGAUAAAGAACCGUACAUUAAUUGUAAUGCAUUAUCAAUGUAACUGCACCAUCGUCACCGUAGGUGUAUGGACCUGCUUCUUGUACCCUUUUACCUAGGAUACACUCAAUGAAACUAAGAGUGUGUUUGGAUGGCUGCAUUUGCCUCAACCAGGCCCCAUGAGAUGCAAAUUUUUGGUGUUUGGUUACCUAUAUAGCCUCCUAGGCCUAGCUCAUCGCAUGCAAAAUGCCCCUCGGUGCUUGGCCUAGUAGGUACGCUGAAAUCGGUUGUUUCCAGCGAACCAGGCUAGCGUAGUGCAACCGAGCACAACGCGUGGGCUCCGCACAUGCAAGGCGCGGAAGCCUGAGGAAGCGUAUGGUCACCACCCUAUUUCAUGCCACCAUCCCUAUUAUAAUCCCUCAUUGCUGCCACAACUACCUCAACUCUCUUCUCUCGGUCGAAAAGGCUCAUCAGAGAUCGUGUAGAGGGCUCAGCUUGCCUUGCGUAGGGAAAAGAGGCAAGUAAUCCCCCAUCCAUCCAUUUCUCUCUCCAUUUUCUUGGUGCCAGUGGCAAAAUCUUGUUUUAUUUGUGGUUCUUUGCUCAGUUCUACUAACAUGGAUCUUUCAUCCCAUUCUAUUUUCACUGUGUAGGGUGUUGUCUGUUGUUCUGUGUGCGCUCAAGGUAAAAAGGUAAUUGAUUCUGAGAUGGACUUCGAUUGUUACAUGUUUCUUACUUCCUUUGCAUAAAUCGAUGUUCGUUCUUGAAAAAAAAAAUUAUGCAGAUUUUCCCCUCCCAUCCUUCUUUCUAUUGUGUGCACGUAUGUGGUCUCCUCUUCCCGGACCUUGCCAUGCUCCUGUGAAGGUAAAGAGGAAUGUGCUCCCCCUCCCCUUCCCCCUCCAUGUGGUGCAUGCUAUUCUUGUGCUAUUUCUUUGUAUGAUUUACCAUUUGAUUAUGUAGCUAAUAUGCCAUUACUUGUUAUAUGAUAUAAACUGGCUUGAUUUAGUUAAUGUAAAUGGAAAUAAAUUUUGAGCAUUUGUUCCUACCCAUGAUGUGUAAGUGUUUAUAUGAGCUCAUGUCAAUGUUGUUGUUGUUUACUUAUGAAUAUGAGCAUAUGUUCAUGUCGAUAUGUUAAUGUGAAUAAGAGCAUAUGUCAAUACCCAUUUUUUCUAAAUAUGACCAUUUGUGAAUAAGAGCAUAUGUUAAUGCCCAUUUUUUCUAAAUAUGAGCAAAUGUCCAUGAUAUUUUGACACCUUUUUCUUUUCGAUUUGUCUAGAUGGUGUUGGAAAAUACAAGAUGUAUGCUUUUUAUUAAGGUAGCAUCUCUUGUCACUAUUCUCUAUGUAUUCUUUGUGAGUAGACUUAUAAUAGGACUCUAUUCAAAACCUGUGAUCACUUAUGCCCCACUGUUUGAGAGAGACAAAGAAUGUGAAGCUAACCUGAAUUAAAUAUACAAUUGUAGUGAUGUAGAACGUAUAGAUAUGCUUUGCAUGAGAAGAGCUUCAUUUUUUCACCUAUGCAACUUGCUUAAGGAAAGGAAUCUUUUAUGAGAUAGCAUUCAUAGCAGAGUAUAAGAACAAGUAUCAAUGUUCCUACACGUGGUCGACCAUAACCAAAGGGUUAGGGUUAUCCAUCAACCCUUAAGAAGGUCCAUAGAGAUAGUGAGCCGAUACUUCAAGGAGAUCUUGCAUGCUAUUGGAGAGCUUAGGAAUGAGAUGGUAAAGCUACUAUCUAAUGAGACUCCACUAAAGAUAAAAAACAGUACAGGAUGGUAUCCAUAUUUUAAGGUAAUAAAAUUGUCAUAUAGUUUGAUGGGCUUAUGUUGCAUACAUGGCUGCAUAUCAAGUAAUGACAAUUGUUGGGACUCAUAUAUGAUUAUGUGGGUGCAAUCGAUGGUACUCAUGUGCAUGCUAGAGUACCUAAGGAGGCUCCUGCCUCUUUUAGGGGUAGGAAAAUGUGCUAGCUGUAGUUGAUUUUGAUCUAAGGUUCACAUAUGUCUUAGCUGGUUGGGAGGAUUUAGCACAUGACACUCUCAUUCUUGCUGAUGCAUUAGAGUGGCAUGAUGGGUGAAGGUUUCCACUAGGUAAAUAAGAAUCCUAUAAUAACCAAUAAAAUUCUAUCAUUGCAUAAACACUACAACUAAUGCAUAUGCAUAAAUUUUUCUAGGAAAAUUCUACCUAGUUGAUGAUAGACAUGCAUGUUGUUCGAGAUUCCUUCCUCCUUACCCAGCUACUAGAUACCAUCUGAAAGAGUAUGGUGGAAGAAAGUACCUAACUAGAGUUGUUCAACUUAAGACCCUAUAGUCUAUGUGUGUCUGUUGAGAGGGCUUUUGGGGGCAUUGAAGAAUCAUUUUCACAUUAACGACAACAAACUAUUUCAUUCAUUCAAGACACAAGUCAAAUUAGUUUUUGUAUGUUGCAUAAUUGGAUAGUAGGGCAUCAAGCGCUCACAACCUUAUCUCUCUUGGGGUUCUUCUUGCGCUUGCUCUUCACCACAUCAUGCGGCACUAGGCUUAACCGUGCCCAAUUUCUUUUGGUUGGUCUUGUGGACCUCCUUGACUAGAUCCACCCUCUGGUUCAUCUAGUUUCCACUGUUGUCUUCGCGUUUUCAUAUGCUAUUCCCAUAGUGUGCCAAUUUGCACGUACUUCCUGCAAAAUAUCAUAUGCACAAAACACAACAUACUCACAAAUAUGGUUAAUAUUAGGUGCCAAAUGACAUAAGCAAUCAAAUACAUAUAUCCACUAAAUUGAUAGCAAAUAUGUGACGAUAACUAGAGUCAACAUUGGUUGGUCAUGGCGGGAGAUAGGGGAGCACGACGAGGUGAAUGUGGCAGAGAGCGGCGAAGAGAGGAGGCGGAUGGCGGUGGCGUAAGGACAAUGCGAGACCCAGUGUGGCGGCGACGGUGGCUUGGAAGGCGGACAUUCAUGGUUGUAGGUCGCAGCCGAGCUUGAGGAGGCCAUGGCAUCCGCGAAGAAGAAGAGACAAGGAAAAAGACCAUGUUGUCCUCAAUAAUGUGGUGAAAGUAGCAAUGAGCACCAAUUCAUCUCUAUCUGGUGGCAAAAAUCAAAGUCAGUCCAGAUGGUGGCAUUUAAGAGUGCACUAUCAGAUAGAGUGGCCAAAAGUUAAAUUUCCUAGAUCAAAGGCUUGAUCUAUCACCAUUCAUUUUGCUAAUUAAUCCAACACUCCGAGUCGGUGCCACCAUUUGGCUCCUGUGUGGCAAUAUAUGUUGUUUAUAUUCUCCUGUAUGCAAUAUCUAGAAUUAUUGUCGUCGCUCUAAAAUGUUUUGUUUAGUAGAAACUCACGAAGCCUCAAAAGUUUCGAAAGUAACCCAAAUUUUCAAUUCCUUUCCUUAAAAAAGUGAACUACAGUGUCUUGACAGACCAUCCUGAAGACACUGCGGGGUUUUCUGGUAGAGCCAUAGGGUCAAUUUUAUAAAGAUUUAAAAAUCUUUUCCUCAGUUUGCCAAUUUCCUUUCCUUGUUGUUAACUACAAGAAGAACCUCAAGUUUAAUUUCGACAUACUACUGCACCCUCCUAUUAAGUAUUAACUCAUGGAUCAUGGGCCCUUUAACUAUUAGCUCGUGAGUACUCUUUACUUUCUUAGUUGCUUAAUUUUCCAUGACACUAUUCUAUAAAUAGCGACCUGUUGCUACUUCAAAUCACAUUUCAUAUCUCGCCACGAAUUCUUGUCAUCUGGUCGGUACAUGUAUAUCCCGUUUAAUUUAAUUUGUUUCAAGUUCUUGCUAUGACCUCCUGUGCUAGCUGCUUCACUAGUGAAGAUGGAUCAGAGCUGUUGAUGCAUCACCAGGCGUCCAGGAGACCAGGACCACGCUGCUGACACUGUGACACACUUCUGCUGCAGAAACCCAUGGUGCUCGAGCUCGCCAACAUCGGCUUCGGCUGCUCAGCAAAAUGCCGAUCGAGACUGCCUCCACAAAUGUGGCGAUGAAUGUCGAGGCAGUGGUCCAGACAGUUGGUACCGCUGUACGGCAGAAACCCAUGGUGCUCGAGCUCGCCGACAUCGGCUUCGGCUGCUCAGCAAAAUGCCGAGACUGCCGUCACAAAUGUGGCGAUGAAUGUCGAGGCAAUGGUCCAGCUAGUUGGUACUCCUGUAUGCCACGAGAUGUGUCUUUUGCGUGAAGCCUGCGGAGAGCCGUGAGGAGAUGCUUUAGGAUGGACGUGAAGCAAUCCGUGAAUCUAGUCUAAUUCAAUUUGAAAUAAUUAGUUAAUUAAUUAAGUUGAACUAAAGUGGAUUCAUAGAUAUCUACGGAUUGCUACACCCUCAUCCCUAAAUGCUUCAGCUCACGCGUAUGGAUGGUACUCCACGAGCAAUCACCUGUACAAGUUCAUCCAUUGCUUGUUCAAGUUUCAUCAAAUUUGUAUAGUAGUCUCCCAGCCCAUGAUCCUCUUAGCCGAUCAGAGGUACAAUAUAAUUCAGUUUCUUGUGUUUAUUUCUAUUGUUCUUGAUA